AAGAAAGAGGAUUCGGUUCUACAGCAAUGGCUGCAUUUGUUUGCAUCAUUAGGUGAUCGUGCAAAGAGCUGGGAUAACGUGGCUGUGUUAGUUGACGAAACUAUUAAACCACAAGCUCCGUGUAGCCCAUUCCUACAGACCCCAACACGGCAGAACAUUAAACCAAAGGCCACUCUAAUAAGGAAUAAGAACACAG